rnacentral:rRNA from 1 species
UACGUAGGGGGCAAGCGUUAUCCGGAUUUACUGGGUGUAAAGGGAGCGCAGACGGAACUGCAAGUCUGAUGUGAAAGCCCGGGGCUCAACCGCGGGACUGCAUUGGAAACUGUAGAUCUGGAGUGGCGGAGGGGCAAGCGGAAUUCCUGGUGUAGCGGUGAAAUGCGUAGAUAUCAGGAGGAACACCGGCGGCGAAGGCGGCUUGCUGGACGGCAACUGACGUUGAGGCUCGAAAGCGUGGGGAGCAAACAGGAUUAGAUACCCUGGUA